GGGGUUGUGGCUCAGUGAUAGAGCACUUGCCUAGCACGUGUGAGGCACUGGGUUCAAAUCUCAGCACCA
rnacentral:tRNA from 1 species